rnacentral:rRNA from 1 species
AGCAACGAAUAUUCCGCAAUGGACGAAAGUCUGACGGAGCGACGCCGCGUGCAGGAAGAAGUUCUUCGGAAUGUAAACUGCUGUCAGGGGUUAGGAAACAAAUGACCAGCCCCAAAGGAAGCACUGGCUAACUCCGUGCCAGCAGCCGCGGUAAUACGGAGAGUGCAAGCGUUGUUCGGAAUCACUGGGCUUAAAGAGCGUGUAGGCGGGAUGUCAGGUGUCGCGUGAAAGCCCCGGGCUCAACCCGGGAAUGGCGAGGCAAACCGACAUUCUUGAGGCAGGUAGAGGUGACUGGAACGACUGGUGGAGCGGUGAAAUGCGUAGAUAUCAGUUGGAACGCCGGAGGCGAAAGCGGGUCACUGGGCCUGUCCUGACGCUGAGACGCGAAAGCGUGGGUAGCGAACAGGAUUAGAUACCCUGGUAGUCCACGCCGUAAACGAUGCGCACUAGGUAUGGGAGGUUCUGACGCCGACCGUGCCGUAGCAAAAGUGAUAAGUGCGCCGCCUGGGA